GACGAACGCUGGCGGCGUGCUUAACACAUGCAAGUCGAACGGAAAGGCCCUUCGGGGUACUCGAGUGGCGAAAGGGUGAGUAACACGUGGGUGAUCUGCCCUGCACUUUGGGAUAAGCCUGGGAAACUGGGUCUAAUACCGAAUAGGACUACGAGCUUCAUGGUGUGUGGUGGAAAGCUUUUGCGGUGUAGGAUGGGCCCGCGGCCUAUCAGCUUGUUGGUGGGGUAAUGACCUACCAAGGCGACGAGGGGUAGCCGGCCUGAGAGGGUGACCGGCCACACUGGGACUGGGAUGCGGCCCAGGCGCCUACGGGGGGCAGCAGGGGAGAAUAUUGCACAAUGGGCGCAAGCCUGAUGCAGCGACGCCGCGUGAGGGAUGACGGCCUUCGGGUUGAAAACCUCUUUCACCAGGGACGAAGCGUAAGUGACGGUACCUGGAGAAGAAGCACCGGCCAACUACGU
rnacentral:rRNA from 1 species